CCCUAACAACACACAACAUUCCAGGAAUGUACUACCAAAGUUCUAUCAAUAUUUGAAUGUCCUGGACAUUUAGGGAACAUUCGGUGAACAUCUGAUUAAAUUAUUCGUGGAAUGUUACCAUAAGACAUUCUGUGAACAUACUACCAAUGUUCCUAUAUGUUCAUUUUCAAAUUCACGGCGCAUGUAUUUGUGCAUGGUGCUUAGAGAGGGCAUCACGUGACUAAAAACGACCAAUGACCUCACUUCAGACUUCGGUGCUUCGGCCAUCUUGACAUGCAUCUUGGCCUUGGCCACCUUGCCGUGCGUGAUCGUUGUUUGUUUUUAUUUGUGCUUUUUAAGAAUAUUUUUUAAUUCGGAUACUUUUAUAAUAACUUUAAUAGUAUUAUUAAUAUAGUGCAUAAAAUCAGUUGGAGUAGCAGAAGCAAUGUAGAUAAAAAAUCUGCAGGAAUAAUGUUUCAAAGCUUUCCAGAAGAUCCUGCGAAGAAGGCAUGAAGUAUUGAUCAGAUUUGUUAAUAGAGCAGUAUGUUCAAAACAUUUUUUAGAAAAAGAUAUUGACAGAACUUCACUUUCAACCGUUUGAGAGACUGUGCUGUUCCAAUAGCUUAUAUCACACAGAAUCAGCUGAGAGAAGUGGUCUACAAAAAACCAGGAAGGAAAUGGAAUAUGUGGCUAUGAAAGGCAAAAGAAAGGUUUACAAAGCAAAUGUGACACAUUUUUUUUAUAGGAAUAUCAGUAAAUUACCUUAAAAAAAUGUAUGAAAAGAUUUUUUGCAAUAAAAAUGUUUAUAUUUA